UACGAAGGGGGCGAGCGUUGUUCGGAAUCACUGGGCGUAAAGGGCGCGUAGGCGGCCCUUCUUGUCGCGUGUGAAAUCCACUGGCUUAACUGGUGGCUUGCUUUCGAUACGGGCAGACUGGAGUACUGCAGGGGAGACUGGAAUUCCUGGUGUAGCGGUGGAAUGCGCAGAUAUCAGGAGGAACACCGGUGGCGAAGGCGGGUCUCUGGGCCGAUACUGACGCUGAGGAGCGAAAGCGUGGGGAGCGAACAGG
rnacentral:rRNA from 1 species